rnacentral:rRNA from 1 species
ACGCUCGACACCUACGGGAGGAGCAGUGGGGAAUAUUGCACAAUGGGGGAAACCCUGAUGCAGCAACGCCGCGUGAAGGAAGACGGUUUUCGGAUUGUAAACUUCUGUUCUUAGUGAAGAUAGUGACGGUAGCUAAGGAGCAAGCCACGGCUAACUACGUGCCUGCAGCCGCGGUAAUCUGAGCGGGCUGGCAAGGC